rnacentral:rRNA from 1 species
GAUGAACGCUGGCGGCGUGCCUAAUACAUGCAAGUCGAGCGAACAGACGAGGAGCUUGCUCCUCUGACGUUAGCGGCGGACGGGUGAGUAACACGUGGAUAACCUACCUAUAAGACUGGGAUAACUUCGGGAAACCGGAGCUAAUACCGGAUAACAUGUUGAACCGCAUGGUUCAACAGUGAAAGACGGUCUUGCUGUCACUUAUAGAUGGAUCCGCGCCGCAUUAGCUAGUUGGUAAGGUAACGGCUUACCAAGGCAACGAUGCGUAGCCGACCUGAGAGGGGGUGGGCCACACUGGAACUGAGACACGGUCCAGACUCCUACGGGAGGCAGCAGUAGGGAAUCUUCCGCAAUGGGCGAAAGCCUGACGGAGCAACGCCGCGUGAGUGAAGAAGGUCUUCGGAUCGUAAAACUCUGUUAUUAGGGAAGAACAAAUGUGUAAGUAACUAUGCACGUCCUGACGGUACCUAAUCAGAAAGCCACGGCUAACUACGUG